CCUACGGGUGGCAGCAGUGGGGAAUAUUGGACAAUGGGCGAAAGCCUGAUCCAGCCAUGCCGCGUGUGUGAAGAAGGCCUUCGGGUUGUAAAGCACUUUCAGUGGGGAAGAAAGCCUUGGGGCUAAUACCCUCGAGGAAGGACAUCACCCACAGAAGAAGCACCGGCUAACUCCGUGCCAGCAGCCGCGGUAAUACGGAGGGUGCGAGCGUUAAUCGGAAUUACUGGGCGUAAAGCGCGCGUAGGCGGUCUGAUAAGCCGGUUGUGAAAGCCCCGGGCUCAACCUGGGAACGGCAUCCGGAACUGUCAGGGGAGAGUGCAGGAGAGGAAGGUAGAAUUCCCGGUGUAGCGGUGAAAUGCGUAGAGAUCGGGAGGAAUACCAGUGGCGAAGGCGGCCUUCUGGACUGACACUGACGCUGAGGUGCGAAAGCGUGGGUAGCAAACAGGAUUAGAUACCCGUGUAGUC
rnacentral:rRNA from 1 species